rnacentral:misc_RNA from 1 species
AAGUCGUAACAAGGUUUCCGUAGGUGAACCUGCGGAAGGAUCAUUAACACGUAUCCAACGUUAAACCCCCCUGUGAACUUUUAGCGUGUGUCUGCUGUAUAGGAACAGCAAUCCUGGUAAAUCAGCCCUAGAAAAGUUUUGAUUCAGGACCUCUGUCUAAAAGGAUGCGAUUGAGCGCUCGAGGCAAGUGGCUUGGAUGUUGCGCCGGAGCUGGUGAAAACGAACAACUGUUAACAAUGGAUAUCUUGGUUCUC